AGGCGAGGUAAGAGCUCACCGGUUUCACGGGAACGUCGAAACCCUGUAAACCCUAUUCGGAGCAACGCUGACUGUAACUGUACGCUUGCCCGGCGUGUUACGAAAAGCGGCUUGAGCGUAAGGAGCAAUCCUGCGUCGAGAUAGAUGAUCGUCCACGACAGAACUCGGCUUACCGACCGACUCACUAU
rnacentral:RNase_P_RNA from 1 species